rnacentral:tRNA from 1 species
GUGGUCAUAGCUCAAUGGUAGAGUGCUUGCCUCACAUGCAUGAGAUCCUGGGUUCAAUCCUCAGCACCACA